UCUCAGAGCCCCUUGCAGCUGCAAUUAAUGAAUCAACCCCUAAAAUAGGUUUUGAAAGUGAUCUUGCCCCAAUUAAACCCAAGACAGUGAGGUUCAAGCCUUUGGUGAAUCGCACUUCAGCUGCCAUAUUUUCAUCCCAGGCUGAAAUCUCUGGAACAACAAUCUACAAUUCAGUGGACAGAAAAAUAGGUUGGUUAUUACUCACAGGUCUGUGAUUCCAUUAGGUGACUCAAAAGAGAGUUACUACAUUGGCCCUCUAGAAGAUUGUUCGCAUCAAAAGAAUCUGAACCAAUGGCCUCCUGAAGUGAGUUCCAGAUAUGAUGCCAUCUUGGAAAUCUACAAUGAAAUCCUACUACAGAGAAGUAGAGUAAGUUCUUAGCACUUGCUUAUUGUUGACGCAGUUGCAUGUUGAUCAACCUGGAAGUGGUUACAGUAUUGUUCAUUUAGAGCUUGUACCUAGUGAUUUCGUUUUCCCAAAAGGCCAUUCUUUGAAAAAUUCUAAGAAUUUCCAUCUACUAUUGGAAUUUUUAGACUAGACAAAUAUCCUUAAUCUAUUUCCAGUGCGAACAGAUGUGUCUCGCCAAGUUAAAUGGCUUCUGAUACUAGUUCUACUCUAGCUUUUUUGCUAUUUGAUAUUUUGUUACUCGGGCAUAAAUUUUCAGAAGA